UCGAGGACAUGAGGGACGUUAU
rnacentral:miRNA from 1 species